GCCGGUCACGUGGGUUAGCAACAGGCAGCAGCCAAUGGGAGCGCGAGUCAGGUGCUGCGUGCCCUCGCCGCCGGGGGAGGGGGUGUCGUGGAGGCGUCCGGGCUGCGGCGUUUGGCUGCGCCGAGGCCGGGUGGGUGCUGUGUUCCCCUAGGAGCCUGCUGCUGCAGAGGGGGCUGGACAGGCUUUAAAGUAGGGCUUUCCCACUCCCACGCUCCGCAGCAGCGACCCGGUAGGGGACCGUGCGUGGCGCGGGUGGGGAGGGACCGCAUGGGGAGUCCAUUGCCCCGGUCCCAGCCACUUGUUGCUUAGCCAGAGCCUUGGGACUGAGACUGUCACUUGGACCCACACAAGGGGAUUAAAACCAAAAGAAUGAAGAAGCUCCUAGCAUUCAGUGGCAGGGGUCCGCCCUGGCCACCUCGUCCCACCCACCGGGGGUAUCGUCCUUCAUUCCGCAGCAUCCCCAGAUUGGCCCGAAGAGGCCAAAGCAGAAGAAAGCCAGGAAUUGGGUCAGAAGGAAAAAGUCAGCUUAGUUGGUUUUAAUUAUUUUAAAUGGAAAAGCCACAUCCAAAAGUGCAAAUGAGGACUUUUACGGUCAUCCCACCCUGUUGACAUAAACCAGCCCACCCAUGAUCCCAGAGAAGACCACAACACACAGUGUCAGAGGGCUGUUGCAGGGACUGAGCAAAAUCGAGGCGACAGGUGGUUUGAGCCCACGGCACGCCUUGACUCCCGACUCACCAAGCAGAGUCCACAUCGCAUUAGUAGAUUCCUGCUGGACCUUCAAGGCACUGGGCACAUUGGAGGGCAAAGUAAGAAAAUCCCAGUGUUUGGGAAAUGUUUAAAGGAAAGAGCCUGGGUGAAGAAGGAUCCAGGACCUAGGGUUGGCCCCAAAGGAGUGACCCCCACUGGGGACAGGCAGUGUGAUUCAUUGCUGCCAAGCAUGUCUGUCCUAGGAAAAGGGAACCUCAGGGUGGACAUGAGAACAACAGCCCUGGUCAUGGCUGUGACCUGGUUAUAAGUUAACUUUAUGGGUCACUGAAUGUCUGGAAACAGACUAUAAAAAGAAGAAAGGGUCACCCAAGAGCUUUGUGUUGGAAAUGGCUGUGACCAGUUGCUUCUGGAAGGGAGAUGUAUUGACCGCCAUAAAACUUGAUAGGCUCGGGGCUUGUCUGUUAAGGCUGGAAUCGGAAGUAAACUCUGGACCUAAGUAAUUGGUACAAAGCUGUGUUUAAGAGCAGAAGCAGAGGGGAGUUUAUUCCAACUAGUAAACAUAUGGAGUCCAACCAGUGCACACGAUGGUCCCUUCCUGGUGACCUCUAAUCCCACAGGACUUUCUUUGGGCCCAUUCAGGUUAAGAAAAUGGGUACAGUUUGACUUUUACCAUACUGGAUUUUUUUUUUAAAUCUCCUUAUUCUUGGAACAGCAAAGCAUUUAAAGUAAAA
rnacentral:lncRNA from 1 species